GACGAACGCUGGCGGCGUGCCUAAUACAUGCAAGUCGAACGAGUGGCGAACGGGUGAGUAAUACGUGAGUAACCUGCCCUCUUUUUGGGAUAAGCCUCGGAAACGGGGUCUAAUACCGGAUAAAGGGGGAUGGGCUCGCGGCCUGUCAGCUUGUUGGUGGGGUGGUGGCCUACCAAGGCGGUGACGGGUAGCCGGCCUGAUAGGGUGAACGGUCACAUGGAGACUGAGAUACGGCCCAGACGCCUAAGGGAGGGAGAAGUGGGGGAUAUUGCGCAAAGGGCGAAAGCCUGAUGCAGCGACGCCGCGUGGGGGAUGAAGGUUGUGGGGUUGUAAACCUCUUUCGCUAUCGAACAGGUAGGUGGAGAAGAGGCGCCGGCUAACUACGUGCCAGCAGCCGCGGUAAUAC
rnacentral:rRNA from 1 species